rnacentral:snRNA from 1 species
GAAUGUGAAGGAAAACUGACUGUGAUAUCUGUCAACACAUUGAUUUCUGGCAUUGCUACAGAUAGUCUGAGCUGAUCCCUGGUCUCCCUUAUCACUUCAUUUGUGUCCCUUCCAGAGCUAUGUGCUUAUUCAAAACAAAUGACCUUCUUAAAGAGGGUAUUUAAAAGGUGCAUUCCCUUUGCAUAAUUUCCAGGCAUGUCACACUUUAUUCAAAGGUAAAUCUGUAGAACAUAAAUCUGUAGAACAAAAAGACACAUUUUGGUUGACUGUUUCCAUUU